GUGGCUUUUCACGUCUUGGUCCUGGAAUAACCUUGAGCGUCUCAUUUUCCUGAAGGAAUUUAAAUCAAGAAUCCAGAAUGCAGGAAGGAACAAAGGCAAAGCUUCACUGUGUUCAAGGACAAAAUAUUUUUUUAAAGACAGCAGUAUAGGCUAUAGUUCAAUGUCCACUCCAUUAAAAUGGAUCUCACAA